rnacentral:rRNA from 1 species
GGCUGAAAUUACGCCUUCAUGAAGCCGGAAUUGCUAGUAAUGGCAGGUCAGCAUACUACGGUGAAUACGUUCCCGGGCCUUGUACACACCGCCCGUCAAACCAUGAGAGUCGGAAAUGCCCGAAGUCUGUGACCCAACCAUUAAGGAGGGAGCAGCCGAAGGCAGGUCGGAUGACUGGGGUGAAGUCGUAACAAGGUAUC